rnacentral:rRNA from 1 species
UACGUAGGGUGCGAGCGUUAAUCGGAAUUACUGGGCGUAAAGCGUGCGCAGGCGGUUCGUGAUGUCUGGUGUGAAAGCCCCGGGCUUAACCUGGGAACUGCCUUUGUGACUGCACGGCUAGAGUGUGUCAGAGGGGGGUAGAAUUCCACGUGUAGCAGUGAAAUGCGUAGAUAUGUGGAGGAACACCGAUGGCGAAGGCAGCCUCCUGGGCCAACACUGACGCUCAUGCACGAAAGCGUGGGGAGCAAACAGG